rnacentral:sRNA from 1 species
GGUUAAGGAUUCAGCCUUCAAGCCCACCCCCCAACCACCCCAACAACCAUCUCUUCAGGCAGCCCAGUAAUAGUCCUCCCCCCAUGAGCAGUGCCAUGAUCCAGCCUCACGGUGCUGCAUCUUCUUCCCAGUUUCAAGGCUUACCUUCCCGCAGUGCAAUCUUUCAGCAGCAACCUGAGAACUGUUCCUCUCCUCCCAACGUGGCACUAACCUGCUUGGGUAUGCAGCAGCCUGCUCAGUCACAGCAGGUCACCAUCCAAGUCCAAGAGCCUGUUGACAUGCUCAGCAACAUGCCAGGCACAGCUGCAGGCUCCAGUGGGCGCGGCAUCUCCAUCAGCCCCAGUGCCAGUCAAAUGCAGAUGCAGCACCGUACCAACCUGAUGGCCACCCUCAGCUAUGGGCACCGUCCCUUGUCCAAGCAGCUGAGUGCUGACAGUGCAGAGGCUCAUAGCUUGAACGUGAAUCGGUUCUCCCCUGCUAACUACGACCAGGCGCAUUUACAUCCCCAUCUGUUUUCGGACCAGUCCCGGGGUUCCCCCAGCAGCUACAGCCCUUCAACAGGAGUGGGGUUCUCUCCAACCCAAGCCCUGAAAGUCCCUCCACUUGACCAAUUCCCCACCUUCCCUCCCAGUGCACAUCAGCAGCCGCCACACUAUACCACAUCGGCACUACAGCAGGCCCUGCUGUCUCCCACGCCGCCAGACUAUACAAGACACCAGCAGGUACCCCACAUCCUUCAAGGACUGCUUUCUCCCCGGCAUUCGCUCACCGGCCACUCGGACAUCCGGCUGCCCCCAACAGAGUUUGCACAGCUCAUUAAAAGGCAGCAGCAACAACGGCAGCAGCAGCAGCAACAGCAGCAACAGCAAGAAUACCAGGAACUGUUCAGGCACAUGAACCAAGGGGAUGCAGGGAGUCUGGCUCCCAGCCUUGGGGGACAGAGCAUGACAGAGCGCCAGGCUUUAUCUUAUCAAAAUGCUGACUCUUAUCACCAUCACACCAGCCCCCAGCAUCUGCUACAAAUCAGGGCACAAGAAUGUAUCUCACAGGCUUCCUCAGCCACCCCGCCCCACGGGUAUGCUCACCAGCCGGCACUGAUGCAUUCAGAGAGCAUGGAGGAGGACUGCUCAUGUGAGGGGGCCAAGGACGGCUUCCCAGACAGUAAGAGUUCAAGUACAUUGACCAAAGGUUGCCAUGACAGCCCUCUGCUCUUGAGUACCGGUGGACCUGGGGACCCUGAAUCUUUGCUAGGAACUGUGAGUCAUGCCCAAGAAUUGGGGAUACAUCCCUAUGGUCAUCAGCCAACUGCUGCAUUCAGUAAAAAUAAGGUGCCCAGCAGAGGUAAGUGUCUCCUCACAGUGAAAGUCCUGGGCCAGUCUGCCCUAAUCAGCUGACCCAGUAAUGUUAUCUUUUUUCAGCUAGUAUUCUGUGUUCCUAAGAAAAAAAGAAUUUCUGAGCUUCAGGACCUUCUUGGGGAGAAGCAUGUAGGAAGUGGGUAUUGGUGGGCGAGGGGUCCAUUUUCAAAAUCAAAGGACCAUGAUACAAAAUUAACACUUAGUCAAUAAGAUAGAUGAUCUAUUUCCCUUAUUCAUACCACAGUUUCUUGGAAUCCAGAAAUUCUUGACUGCCAUCCAAACAGCUAACUUUAACUUGCGCAAUAGAAAAAAGUCAGCCAAACAUAAUUUAGCGUAAAUAGUGCGGGAACAAGCGUCAGAGCACCUUAAUUCUGCUCUUGCAGCUAUCGUAAAUACGAUAACUUUGUCAUUUAAACUCUCUGAUUCUGAUUCUCCUCAUCUGUGAAGAAGGUGUUGGAGGAACAAUAGAGUAUCUCAUGGAGUAUCUGUGGAGAUGAAAACAUGUAUAUAUGUGUUUGUUUCUAUGUAAUGUUUGCAUGAAAGAGAGAGAGGCACAUUCAGAUCAUCUGAAAUGUAUGAUUUCAGUGCAUAAAUGUGAGGUAUUAUUACUCUGGUCGUUUUAUUAGUGAGCUAAAUGCAGAAUAUCACAGCAUCAUAAGGGGCCCCAUUAUUUCAUUUUGUACCACUUUAUAAUUAAAGAGUAUAUUCAUUCUCAUUCUGAAGGAGAUCAGGAUUACAAUCAGUAAGUUAUACUUAGAAAAUAUAGUUCCAUUAGCAUCACAGCAUUCAUCCUAGACAAAACCAGGAAUCUUGCAAUUUACCACUCCUCACCAUUGCCAUCCAAGGGAAUAAAAAGCAAUUUAUCUGUAAACUGUACAA